UACAUGUGGGGCAAGCGUUGUUCGGAAUUACUGGGCAUAAAGGGUGCGUAGGCGGCUUAUUAAGUCAGGGGUGAAAGACGGUGGCUCAACCAUCGCAGUGCCUUUGAUACUGAUGAGCUUGAAUACACUUGAGGUAGGCGGAAUGUGACAAGUAGCGGUGAAAUGCAUAGAUAUGUCACAGAACACCAAUUGCGAAGGCAGCUUACUAAGGUGCAAUUGACGCUGAGGCACGAAAGCGUGGGGAUCAAACAGG
rnacentral:rRNA from 1 species